rnacentral:rRNA from 1 species
UACGGGGGGGGCAAGCGUUGUUCGGAAUUACUGGGCGUAAAGGGCUCGUAGGCGGCCAACUAAGUCAGACGUGAAAAUCCCUCGGCUUAACCGGGGAACUGCGUCUGAUACUGGAUGGCUUGAGUUUGGGAGAGGGAUGCGGAAUUCCAGGUGUAGCGGUGAAAUGCGUAGAUAUCUGGAGGAACACCGGUGGCGAAGGCGGCAUCCUGGACCAACACUGACGCUGAGUGAGCGAAAGCCAGGGGAGCAAACGGG